UGAGAACUACGCCUCCGUCCAGAAUUACUUGUCGCACAAAUGAAUAAAAAUGAAUGUAUCUAUAACUAAAAUAUAUCUAGAUACAUCCAUUCUUAUGACAAGUAUUUCCGGACGGAGGGAGUUCUAG
rfam:Hordeum vulgare subsp. vulgare, WGS project CAJW01000000 data, contig: morex_contig_75846